rnacentral:rRNA from 1 species
AGAGUUAAACAGUACGUGAAAUUGUUGAAAGGGAAACGAUUGAAGCCAGUCGUACCUGCGGACAAUCAGCCUUUCGGGUGUGAUUAUGUGGAGCGUGUGGAGCUAAACACCUUCAUGCCUGCAUAUUCGUGCUCUGGGGUGUACUUGGACGUGUGGUAGGUUAACAUCAAUUUCGAACGUCAUAAAAUGAUCGGAGGAAUGUAGCUUCGGUCUCGUACUGAAGUGUUAUAGCCUCCGGUAGAUGUGAUGAUCGGGAUUGAGGAUUGCAACGGAUACCCUUCGGGGCUACCCGUCUUAUCUCUGAAAGUUGCUCUGGUGUCGGAAGCUUGCUUACGGUCAUCAAAGUUGACGUUCAAUAGGUUAGAACGGGUUAAAUUCGUUAAGGAUGUUGACGUAAUGGCUUUAAACGACC